rnacentral:lncRNA from 1 species
GAGCAACAGCCCAAAGCAGUGCUUUUUAAAAUGACAGUUUCAUGCAGACGGGGACUUGGGGAGAUAGCUGUGCUUUCCUGAAACAAGCUGAAGACGUGUUGGACCGGGCUUGGAGCACUGCAGCAUAUUCCAUGGAGAGAGAACCUUACUUUUCUGCUGGUGUGGUGUUGAGAAGGGAAUUCCUCUUGAUGUGAAUGGAGAGCAGUUUUUGAACAUAUACUUUGGCACAAAAUAUACUGACUUUCUGCAGGGAUGUGCUGAACCAUGCAGCAGGAAAAGAGGAAUCCAAGCUGAGCAAAGCUGAGAGAAAAUAAAAUCAACUACAGAAGGUAAAAUGUCAGCCACCUUCCCCUUUGAAUUCUGCAAGACAUAACAGCUGAAGAGGUAAGAGCAGAUAACCAGAAAACAUGCAUCAGAGAAGCCUUUUUUGAGAACCAUUGGGUCUGCCAAGUGGUCUGGGCAGAAAAGCAGUAGCCUCGAAAGACACAUCUUUUAAAGAAGCUGAAUGAUUUUGGGACAUUGGUCUUCACUGCAGACAAAGGUAGAGAGAGAGAUGCCAUCCCACGAUGCUACUCUCUAGCAGUUAAAACUGAGGAACUGUUGGGCUUGAGGUAACCAGACACCCGCAUGCCACCUGAACGCCACUGGCUUCCCUACAGAAAGGUUUGCUGCCUUUUCAGAACAGUCUCUCAUGGGAUUCUUCAUUAGUUCCUGAAUCCCAAGCAGAGGCUUAUUGCCUGGUCUGCGUGAUAGUUUCUGG